UGGGGUAUAUCUCAGUGGUAGAGUGCAUGCUUAGCAUGCAUGAAUUCCUGGGUUCAAUCCCCAGUACUUUCA
rnacentral:tRNA from 1 species